rnacentral:tRNA from 1 species
GCAUUGGUGGCUCAGUGGUAGAGUCCUCACCCCCCGACACACAGGGGAGGCCUGGGUUCGAUUCCUGGCCAAUGCA